GGGACAACAGUUGGAAACGACUGCUAAUACCGCAUAAGCCCACGACCCGGCAUCGGGAAGAGGGAAAAGGAGCAAUCCGCUUUGAGAUGGCCUCGCGUCCGAUUAGCUAGUUGGUGAGGUAACGGCCCACCAAGGCGACGAUCGGUAGCCGGACUGAGAGGUUGAACGGCCACAUUGGGACUGAGACACGGCCCAGACUCCUACGGGAGGCAGCAGUGGGGAAUAUUGCACAAUGGGGGAAACCCUGAUGCAGCGACGCCGCGUGGAGGAAGAAGGUCUUCGGAUUGUAAACUCCUGUUGUUGAGGAAGAUAAUGACGGUACUCAACAAGGAAGUGACGGCUAACUACGUGCCAGCAGCCGCGGUAAAACGUAGGUCACAAGCGUUGUCCGGAAUUACUGGGUGUAAAGGGAGCGCAGGCGGGCGAUCAAGUUGGAAGUGAAAUCCAUGGGCUCAACCCAUGAACUGCUUUCAAAACUGGUCGUCUUGAGUAGUGCAGAGGUAGGCGGAAUUCCCGGUGUAGCGGUGGAAUGCGUAGAUAUCGGGAGGAACACCAGUGGCGAAGGCGGCCUACUGGGCACCAACUGACGCUGAGGCUCGAAAGUGUGGGUAGCAAACAGGAUUAGAUACCCUGGUAGUCCACACCGUAAACGAUGAUUACUAGGUGUUGGGAGAUUGACCCUCUCAGUGCCGCAG
rnacentral:rRNA from 1 species